GCCUGGGUGGCUCAGUCAGUUGAGCGUCUGACUCUUGAUUUCAGCUCAGGUCAUGAUCUGAGGGUUGUGGGAUCAAGCCCCACGUCGGGCU
rnacentral:tRNA from 1 species